GUCAAGUCCUCAUGGCCUUUAUGUCCAGGGCCACACACGUGCUACAAUGGCGUCGACAAAGCGAACCAAGACCGCGAGGUGGUGGAAAUCGCAGAAAUGACGCCCCAGUUCGGAUCGGAGGCUGCAACUCGCCUCCGUGAAGUUGGAAUCGCUAGUAAUCGCGGAUCAGCUACGCCGCGGUGAAUGUGUUCCUGAGCCUU
rnacentral:rRNA from 1 species